rnacentral:lncRNA from 1 species
AAAGAAAGGUGAUUCAAACUCCAUGGAUAUCUAGAUUGGUACUAUGAAUUGAAAGAGAAAAGUGCAAAGGCAAAUGCAAGUAUCACAACAACAGCACAUGAAAUUCCAAUCUCAGACACUCCUAUACAGUCGGAGAACUAUGAAGGGCUCAAUAGUAAAAUAGCCAAAUUGGUUCAACAGGAAGUUAUGAAAGUGAUGGAAGGAAAG